AGAGAGAGAGAGAGAGAGAGAGAGAGAGAGAGAGAGAGAGAGAGAGAGAGAGAGAAGGCACAUAAAUUCCAAGUGAGCAAAGCACACCAAACUUCAAAAUUCACCAACUUACCUUCACUAAAAAGCCUCAAUCACUCCACUCUUCAAGAUUUUGUUCUGAGUUAUGAACAAACUUCUAAAGAUUGUGUGAACUGUGUACUUAACAUUUACCAUUGCAUCCACAUCUUAGAGCUUGCACCAAAAUAGAGCAACACAAUUGCAGCGAUUCCAUGUUCAAUUCAUUGAGAGUUUGGAAGGAGAGGAGUGGAAAAAGAAGUAGAAUAAGGAAGUGUGUAGAAAGAAGCAAGAAAAACACAAUACCUGAAAGUUUGAUCCUCAACAGAAACAUCAAACUCGCCAGAAAGCCACGUUAUUCGAUCAAGUGUUUUCCUCUACUUUUUGCACAAGAUCUUGAUACCAUUAUGUAGCCCUGAGUAUGCUAAACAUUUCCCCCAUAUCAAUUUGAUCGAAUUCACAUCCAUGAUCAUUUAAUUUUGAAAUUAGGUUAACUAAUAUUCUUCAUGUUCUUGCUCGAUCCAUGAUUUACGCAUAUUUUCAUGGAAUAAUUGUUCAAGUCGCUCCACUAUGUCACGUUGAGCUUGUUGCCAUGGUUAAAAACCCGUAUUUGUUUGAAUUGAACCGAAUCGAACUCUUCUUUGUAUAAACACGAAGCUUUCAUUUUCUCUUUGCUUGAGCUUGUGUGUUGACUGCAAAUUACCUAUAUGAAGUUCCCUAUUGGUAUACGUUAAUAUUUCAAUGUGUAUUGCUGCAAUUUUGUGGAUUUUGUUCAUGUUUUAUUUUGGAUUUGCAAGAUAGAUUAGAGAACUAAGAAGAAGGGAAUGAAAUGAUUUCCCUGAAUGGAUAAUAGCCAUAAGAUGGAUAUGAUGGUUUGAUUUUUUUUUUAAUUCAAAUGAUGCAUGUGUCAUCACCUAUUUGGUCAGUUUUAGAUAUUUGAAGAGGGGAUCUCAUACAAGAUCCCCAUGCGUGACCACUCUAUGAUUUUAACCAUGGCCUUCUGAUUGGAUUGAUUGACCAAAUUAUUCACAUCAUGUGACCUUGAUGCACCUGAUCAAAGAGUGCAAUCUGAGCCUUCUAAUAUAGAUUAAGUGGUCGUGCGUAGAUCAUAGCCAA
rnacentral:lncRNA from 1 species